CCUACGGGUGGCUGCAGUGGGGAAUAUUGGACAAUGGGGGCAACCCUGAUCCAGCCAUGCCGCGUGUGUGAAGAAGGCCCUCGGGUUGUAAAGCACUUUCAGUGAGGAAGAACGCCUGGUGGUUAAUACCCAUCAGGAAAGACAUCACUCACAGAAGAAGCACCGGCUAACUCCGUGCCAGCAGCCGCGGUAAUACGGAGGGUGCGAGCGUUAAUCGGAAUUACUGGGCGUAAAGCGCGCGUAGGUGGCUUGAUAAGCCGGUUGUGAAAGCCCCGGGCUCAACCUGGGAACGGCAUCCGGAACUGUCAAGCUAGAGUGUAGGAGAGGAAGGUAGAAUUCCCGGUGUAGCGGUGAAAUGCGUAGAGAUCGGGAGGAAUACCAGUGGCGAAGGCGGCCUUCUGGACUGACACUGACACUGAGGUGCGAAAGCGUGGGUAGCAAACAGGAUUAGAUACCCUGGUAGUC
rnacentral:rRNA from 1 species